CCUUUCUCUAUCACCAGGUAAUUGGAAGCAGAAAAAAACCAGUCCCUGACCCCUGCUCUGCUUUAAGCUCCUUGUCACUGCUCAUAGCAGCCCUGUUCUGUUCUCCCCAACGCCGCCACCCAAAUCCUGUUCCCCUGGGAGAAGAAACCCUACCCCCACCCGCCCCUUUCAGCUCUGCCGCCAGGAGACUGGCUUGUCUUGGGGAAGUCACAGGUUUCAUUUUGUCACUUAGAAGCUGUUCCAGCCAGGAAGGGAGCCCAAGUUGACUUGAAGCCAGACCCUUAAUUGGAUUGGGUUCCUAGGGAGGCCAUUAGCUCUCUCUGCAGCUCUGGAGAGAGGAAGCACUUCCUCCCCCACCCGGCUGCACCCCUACUCAUUGCAGCUGAAUCCUGGAUGGCCUUCCACCCAAAUAAGGUCAGUGUUAUGUAUCCAGUCUCUUCCAUCAAGAGGACCGACUACUGACACAUCAGCAAAUCCACCUGGACAAUCAGUUCCUCACAUCGCAGCCUGCAAGCAGAAGGGGCAUAAAGCCAUUUGAAACUCAACAGCAAAUGUAUUCUUUCCCAGAUGGCAAGAGCCCUUCACUUCCCAAGGAAUAAAGGCUCUCUCCAGUUCAGAGGUGCCCUGGGACCCCAGCAGCCUGCAGAGCCCCUGCAAUUCAGGAAUCAGAAGCAGCUGUGCCGGUCUGAUGUCUUCCCAGCUGCACUCCAUGCUCCCGACAGCAAACCCACACACACACACACACACACACACACACACACACACACACACCCCGUCUCCCUCCCUGGCUGUGUGACACUUGGGAGCUGGGUUGGGCUGGUUGGUUUGCUUCCUGUGUGAGGCGUCUGCACUCCUGGAGCCAAGCUUCCUAUCGCAUGUCCGUAUUUGGAGCUCGCCUGCCUGCCUUCCUGCAGAACACCGUGUACUGCUGCCUCUGCCCGGCCUCGUUCCACAACACACCAGGAACAGCCUGUGGCAGAAGAACACGCCCCUUGUCCCAGCUGAUCCCUCCCAGACGCGGUCAGAGCCCUGACAAGUGAACCCCCUGCACUUAUCUGCUGCUGCCAUCUGCUUCUGGCCUCUGGGUUUGGAGGUGUGGUUCUGGAAGGAUUCCUUUCUUCUGGUGAGCCAGCAGCCUAUGUCCUUCAGCCGCUGGGUCCACUCCUGGACUGAGAAGGGUGUGUCUGAGCGGCAUGGCCCUGAGUGUUACUAACAGGGAUGGCUUUUCACAGCAUAAGGCUAGAAGACCAGGCUGAGAGAAGCACAUCCCAGGACCUGCAGGAGGGAGAGUGACCAAGGUCAAGGGGUAAGAGCAGAGCAACACAGGCGAUCAGAAGUGACCCGAGAGAUCCAGCAGGAAGGGAAUAUUUAUGUGACCUGGAAGUGUCCCUGCAGAGUGCCCCUUCCUUACUUGCAAGAGAGCAAAUUCUACCUUCUGGAGUGGAAAAAACUGAUGGACCCUAAGCAGGGCCAGGACACUUGACUUCCAAGAUGUUGCUUGCAGCCAUCAGGACACCACAAGCAACCUGGAGAGAGGACGAGUAGGGGACAGAAAGUUCCUCAGGCCUCAUUGAACCACUGUAUCCAUCAGUCCCCGGACCUGAUAUCUCCUGGGACUGUUGUACAGGACGGGCACCCCACUGUAACCCCCAGCAGCUAACCGGGAUUGGUGGCUCUAAUAUCAAAAAGAAUUCCAGGACUAGCCAAUACGAGGUUCAGCUGAAGUUUAAUUAGAUGUUCCUAGCAUGAGGGUUAAAAGAGAAAGAGAGGCACUGAGAAGGAAGGGAGACCCACGGGAGAAGGUGAGAAUCUGAGUGUGGGCCUUUCAGGCAAGUGCAGGUCCAGGCUCCUCAUGGGGCAUCCCAGCCCCGUAGUGGUUUUGCAAUGGAUUUUGGAGGGGUUUGAAGUAACUACCUUCAAAGGGUUGCCAAGAAACCUAAGUGAGGUCACUGGGUGGUUCCUGAGGCGGCACCCGGCAGGGUUAAGAUGGAUGAAGCAGAAACCAAGCCACAAGGGUACAGGAAGGUAGGCUGUUUUUAACUGUAAACAGUUUAUAGUUUUGAGAGUCUCAGGAAAUAUCUGAGGAAAGGAAUAAUGCCCUUCCCAAGAUCAUAUGUGUUCAGACUCUGAACCUGGGUGGUUGUUAUUUGAACAUAAAGGACUAUUAUUUUUAUACUUGCAAAUUAACUCUAUCAGAACCUCUGGCGUCAGAGUUAUAGGCAGUUGGUGAGAUCUUUGACCUGAGUGCAAGGAACUGAACUCAGGUCCGCUGCAAGAGCAGUAAAUAUUCUUAACUCCUGAGCCAUCUUUCUAGCCCUUCUUGCUUGUAUUAGCUGUUUAGUUUGUUUGGUGGGUCUGGGUGCAUUUAUACCAUGACUCACAUGUAGAGAUUGGAAGACAAGUUGUGGGAGUUGGGACCAUGUGGGUCCCAGGAUCAAACUCGUUGUCAAUCAGUGAGUUUGGUAGUAAGCACCUUGCCCCUUUUAGCCAUCUCACCAGCCGUUCCAGUCUUGCUAUUAGUGACAUAACAGUUGAGCUGGGUGUUCAUAUCUCUACUUGCUAUGGUGGUUUGAAUGAAAAUGCCCCCAUUGCAGGGAAGUGGUGGCUCAUGCCUUUAAUUCCAACACUUGGGAGGCAGAGGCAGGCCAAGACAGCCCCCAAAGCUACAGAAAAAGAAACUCUGUCUUGAAAAACAAAAGAAAAAGAAAAGAAAAUGGCCCUCAUAGGCCCAUAGAGAGUGGCACUGUUAGAAAGUGUGGCUUUGUUGGAGGAAGUGUGUCACUGGGGGCCUGCUUUGAAGUUUCAAAUGCACAAGCCAGGCCCAGUGUUACUCUGUCUUCCUGCUGCCUGCUGAUCUAAAUGUGAACCUCUCCAGCUCUGUGUCUGCCUGCAUGCCUCCCACUAUGACAAUGAUGGACUGUAAGCCAGCUCCAAUGAAAUGUUUUCCUUUAUAAGAGUUGCUGUGGUCAUGGUGUCUCAUCACAGCAAUAGAAACACUAAGACACCUGCAUUUGGUGUAUUUGCUUUUUAUGUGUAUGGCUGUUUUGGCUAUAUGUGUAUCUGUGUACUGUGUGCAUGCCUGUGGCCUUCACAGACCAGAAGAAAUUGGAUCCCCUGGCCCUGGAGUUACAGAUGGCAGUGAGCUGCCAUGUGGGUUCUGAGAAUUGAACCUGGGACCUCUGGAAGAACAGCCAGUGCUCUUAACUGCUGAGCCAUCUCUCCAGCCCUUCCCCCUGAAUUUGUGAAGUGCUUGCUGCAUGCCAGGGCCUGUCCUGGGGCUUCAUGGGCACAUGUUUCCCAUGACUGCCUGUUCUGAGAGAUGUGACCUGUGACACCCUUUCUAUUGAAUUCUUGGGAGGAACUUAAAUUUUUCCAUCUCAGCUACUCACUGUGUGUGAACUAGAUAGUAAACUUCCCUGUUCCUUUUUUUGAAUCUGAAAACUGCACCUUGUUCUCUAGCACUAGUAAAAAUUAAAACAGAAUACUGGAAAGAUAACUCAGAGGUUAGGGGCACUGGCUGUUCUUCCAGAGGACCCAGGUUCAAUUCCCAGCACCCACAAGGCAGCUCAUAACCAUCCAUAACUCCAGAUCCUAGCAUCUGGUGCCCUCUUCUGACCCCUGUGGUCACCAGACAUACACAUGGUGAUGUAUACACAUGCUUACAAAGCACUCAUAUACAUAAAAUAAAAGAAAGAAAUCUUUAGAACAGAAUACUCUGAACCAGGGUUGGUGUUGCACGCCUGUGAGGAGGUAGGAGCAGGAGGAAAUGAGGUUCAAGGUCAUUAUCAGCUGCAUGGAGAGAGAGAGAGAGAGAGAGAGAGAGAGAGAGAGAGAGAGAGAGAGAGAGAAAGAGAGAGAGAGAGAGAGAAGAAAACCAAUUCUAUUUUACCAAUGAGCAGACUGAGUGUGGCAUCUGUGGUAUAGCCCAGGGUGGCACAGGCCGAGCUGUGUCAGCCCCAUAUUGUCCAGCUGAAAAGCCUGCUGAGGUGGCAAACAUGGCUAGAGGCUCUGUGCUAGCCUGCUUUGAGAAGCCUAGGAGAUGUGAUGGGCAGUGCCGGUUGGUGACCUCAUCAGUCACCUGGGCCACUUGCCCUGUUAAUCUUUAUAGAAGCCUUGACCUCAGCUAGGAGCCUAUCUUGUCAUUCCCACUCUCAAGUGACCAUUGUCAUCAGUUGGGGUGGAGCCUUCCCUCUAGGUAUCUUAUUCAUCAGUGAGGAGACAGGUACCUUCCCAGGCAAGAUGGCUGAUGUGUUUGGCCUUACAGAGACCCUGUCCUCCCUGGAGGCAUUCUGUGGCUCACACAUGGUCCUCUUCCCGGUAGUCUACAAGUGCCCUGAGGCUCCUAGCUGGAAGGGCCCAGGCCUGUGGCUCAGGGGCUCAGACAGACUCCAGGGAGCAUCCAGUCACCGUGCCCUUCCUGUAGGGCACCCAAGCCCCAAAGGAGUCAACCUCUGAACCAGGCCUUCCGGCCUCUUCCUGGCCUCUCUCUGCUAGACUAUGAAGAACAACAGGAUGUGAACCAUGAUGGCCACCAGACCUGCAAGCGACACAGGAGAUGGCCUUGCCUGUCACUCCAGACCUCUUAGUUCCCAGAGAGCUUCCCGGCCUUGUCAGAACCUGUACCACCCUCUUCCAUCACUUCCGUGGUGCUCCGGGAAGAGAAUAUGGAGGCCUGCAGCUCAGCCUGAGCACAUUGUACAUACUGAGCAGAGUUCCUUCACUAAACAAGAACUACAGAGAUACAGUCCUGGGCUAGCCUGGUCGCCUCCCACCAGCCAGACCCCUGCUCCUGUUCUCUCUGGCAAUCCACUACAGCCCAUGGGCGAUGACAGCAAGCUCCCUGCCAGGGUAAUCUCCAUAAUGAGGGGAGGGUUAAAGACACAAGAGACCAGAAGAAGGUUCUAGAGUUCCUCCUUCCAUCAGUCAGGAUGGUGAGAACACACAUUAGAGUCAAGGGCAUGAAUCCACCCAGACUUGGCCAUUAACUAUUGUGAUCUGAAGGGACUUUUCACCCCCGAGCUUCAGCUUCCUCCUCUCGAGUAUGAAGACAACAGGAAUGCCCACACCUCACUCAUAACACGGAGAAGCAAGGAAGUAAUGCCUCCCAUUUACAAUGCAAGGACUCUCAAGGCUAUAUUCAAGGUCAAGGACAGGUCUAUGACCUUCAGGACUUGGAAGCCCCAGGACUUGAACUCAGUUCUGCCCUUGGCAGCUGGAUCUGUGCAAGUCCAGUCCUUGGGCUCCGAGAAAGGGAAGUGGGAUCCUUAUGUGGAAGAGGCCUGUCACCACUGUGACACAGAUAUGGGUGUGCCGAUUUCAGAGUUGUGCCAACACCCAUCGAGGAAUCCUCCGUGUUGGGCAGCAAUUCAGUUCAUUUGAAUAGUUUCCUGAAUAGUCUCAACAAACCCUACCUUCCUUCUAUACAGCAACACCAUGAGGAACUCCAGGACAGAGACGGGCCUGCAACAAAUUGUUCUGCAGCUCAACGUGGCUCACACCGGCAAUCCCAGGGCUUGAAAGGCUGAGGCAAUUGAGGGGUUCAAGACCAGUUUGUGCUACAUAGUGAAUCUGAGAUCAUCCCUCACAAACAAACAACAGACAAACAAACGAAAGAUCCUGCCAGGCAUGGUUGCUGAGGAAACUGCCAGACUCUAUUUUGAAGGCAGGAACUAUUAUGCUGUAUUUUGAAAAAUAAAGUUCUAUUUAUUGUGAGAGCUGAGUUGCUCUCUGUUUCCCGGAAACUGACCUUCCCCAACCCAUGACCUUGGCUUGUUUGUGAGAAUACCCUUACCCUUCCUGACCCUCCCUAGUCACAUGGUGACCACAUGAUUUUUUGAAAAGAUUUUUGUAUUUCCUUAUUGUCCCAUUGUCUCCCUUCUGUAAAACUGGUAGUGAUUUUACUCCUUAAAGGGGGCCCAAGAGAUGGAUUCGGAGCUGUUCUCUUUAG
rnacentral:lncRNA from 1 species